UAAAUAAGUUAAUUUUUUUGACUAGUUAGCUAAAUUUUCCUUUUAUUUAUUAAUAGAGUAUGUACAAGCACUGACUAAUCCAAAACUAGGAUUAGCCCAAAAAGAAAAAGCCCAACCCAUUAAAAUGAACCUUUAGCUAUUUAUAAAGAAACCCUAGAAAAUAAGGAUUCAUAAAUUUGUGCUCCUCUUCAGUGUCCCCUAUAUUGCUGCUUAGAGAUUUGUGGUAUUCAACCUUCCACCCCCAUUUGUUGUGGGUCAUUAAUCCCUUUCUCUUCUUCUUCCUAGUAUCAUCCUUGCUUAGCUUGCAGCGGUAUGUUUUUGUAUUUUGUUCUUCACUUAUUUCCCUCAAUUCUUGACUUCCUCCAUUUCAAUGAUGGAGACUUAAUCCGGUGAUGUAGUGGUUGCCUAAGAUAGUUCUUGUAGAGGUGCCUAGUCCUGUGGUCUGGCUCUCAAUUCCUUGAGAGAGAUGAUUUGGUUGGAUAUGUUCCUCCAGUAAGACUUGAUGCUGCAUUUUCUAUGUGGAAUCUAAAAAAGAGUUGGUCGUUGAUUCUUCAGGAGAGAGAUGAUUUGGCUGGAUAUGUUCCUCCAGUGAGACUUGAUGCUGCAUUUUCUAUAUGGAAUCCCAAAAAGAGUUGGUCGUUGAUUCUUCAGGUUUUUCCGUUUUGAUGAUAUUCUAUAAAGUGGCUAAUUCUUUUUAUAAGAAGCAACACUUUUGAUCUAGUAAAUUUUGAAUAAUUAAAAAGAAAUCUUCAAUUGUGUAUGAAUAUUGUGCCUAAUUGUUUUUUGUUUCAAAUCUUCUGAAACCGCAUUUUCAUGAUAUAUACUAUUGUUUAAUAUCAUGUAAUAAUGAAAUAGUGUUCCUGUAUGUUGUCAUUCUCCUUUAUUUCUUUAGGUUGUAUUCUCAAAUUAGGUAUUCGCGACUUUUCUAAGUUAAUAAUCUUUCUUUCAUUGCUUGGAAGUUUACAGAAGGUGGAAAAAACAUUGUCGUCCAUUCCUUUCAAAGGCUACAUUAGUAAUUUAAUUUGCUAACGAAUUUCCUUUCUGAAAACAUGUUGAAGUCUUGCAUGACAUAUCUGAGCUAAAU